GGGGGGGGGUCUGUUGCACAGUCAGCCAGCGGCUCGGAGCUCCCCACGCCGCGCGUGAGUGCGAGCUCCUUCCUGUGGGGGCCAGGUCAGAGGUUGCCAGACACCCACCCGGUCACUUUGUGUCCCGGCUCCAGGUGACGGGCUUGGGGGCCCUUCUCCGUUUCGGGGGUCUGCCCCUUGGCCCGAGCGCAGCAGGUGCACGUGACCUAGGCGCCCGCAGAGCACAGGUGGUACCAAGCGGACGAAGACGGAGUCUUACUUUCCCAAACAGCCCAGAGUGGCCCUGAGUUCUGUUUCCGGCUUCGGAAACCCCCUGGGUGGUGACCCUGACUUCUCAAGCCUCAGCCGCCAUGCCUAGAAAAGCGGGACCCCACCCCCACUCCCCGAGCCCCCAGGGCAGCCAGGAGCACAUCAGUGGGUAACAGGGGCGGCUUCCGAUGAGCACUUACUGCGUGCAGGGACUUUGCUGUCCCCACCUCCUUGGACCCUCAGACGACCGUGUGAGGGGAGUCGUGUUACCGUGCCCGCUGACCCCCAAAUGCCUAAAUGACCGCCAUGGGCCAAACAGCCAGGAAGUGCGGGGCUGGCCCGGGCACGAGGUCCCCUGUGUGGCCGUCCCAACAUCGUUGGCCCAGCACGGGGCUGGCACGGAGCAGGCGCUCACUAGAAUCGGUGUCCUAGUUUUAAGCAGGAAGCAAUCCAAUGGCACCCGAAUUUAAUAUGCCUCCCGGCGGGCGGUGGGUGGUUUUUGCCAGCAGCCCCAAAGGGGUCGUCCGGGUCGAGGGUGCUGCGUCUAAGGGCACCACACAUUGGCUCUUGGUGUCACACGUGCAGCUUCUCUGAGGAUUUGCUGUCACGUCCGUCCAUCAGGAAUGUCUUUGUCCCUGAAGCACGGCAGCUGGCACGUCAUACAGACUGGAAAUCCGGCCCUGCGGCCGACACGUGGCCCUUGGGCACUGGGAACCGUCAAAGAAAACAACUCCGCUCUCAGAGAUAACCCCUGGCCAUGUGUUCAUUUACUCUGGGGCCAGAGGGCAAAGGCUUCGGUCCCUCGUGGUCCUGAUUGGCCGGAUCGGCCCCCGCCACUCCGAGGCACGAACGUUGACGGACUUGUGCCCACCGCUUGGGGCCUGGUGGGUGGUUCAUCCCUGGGGCGCCCCAUUCCCGAGGCCCCCCUCUGUGUCUGUGUACUCGCCCGUGUGCGUGUGAUUCCCCUAACAGAAACGGGGUCAUCCUCUUGCCGCACUCCCUUUCCCACUUAAAGCCACACCUCGGGCAUUCCCCUAUCCAGCAGCACGAAGGUUCAAGUCCACAAGCCUCCUGAGGGGCACGGACGUUAGGGUUUCUGCUCCGAGCAGCUCCGUGCACGGGUCCGCCCCUGGAGGCCGGCUCGCCGGGACCAGCGCCUUGAGGGUGGGGUUUGUGAGUCCCAGAUGGUGGCGCCAGGGUGGCCAAGCAUAGGGUGAGAGCCAGGCGGGGCCAGAUCGCCUGGGCGGAUCCCCGUGUGUCCCUGAUGAAACCACAUGCACCAAAGUCUUCCAGUUCUGCGGUUUGUCGGCAUUGAAAUGGGCUGAUGCAGAAGCAGACACAGGCCUGGCCCGCACGCGGCACCUGGGGUGCGGGGUGUCUCUGUGUUACCACACUGCUCCCUCGCCCCUCCCUGCAGUGUCCUCCUGGUUCCGGUCUGAGAGGUGUGUGCUCGUGGCCGGAUGUCGGACUCCCCGAGGACAACGGCUGCAGAGUGGGGUCCUCUCUCAGACGAGGAGUCGGCCCCCUGCGGCUACGUGGGGCCGGUGGGUGGAUACAAAUGGAAACCACACCAGCAUGAAGAAGAACCCGCCAAACCCCAUCAUCGUUUGUGAGAGCCCAUUAACAUCCUGGGAUUGAGGUCUUCCUUGUGGCCACCACGGUGGCUGUUGGGCCCUCUGUUACCGUGGGACGUGUCAUUGAUGUUUGGUGACUGUCACUUUUGAUGUGCUUCUGAUAGCCCGGCCUAAGUCUAGUCACCUUUACCCCGGUCUUUUUUAUCCCGCCGGGACCACCCCUCCCACAAAGUCAGCAUGCGCCCAGCACCCAGCACCCAGCCGCACCUGGCACCACGCCAAGGGCAACGGGCGUGCGUCCCGUCCCCAAGCCUCCCUUCCGCGAGACUUGGCGCACGCAGCCGUUUGGACAUUGCCCACGCUCCAUGCGGACUGUGUCCCGCCAGACGGUGGGCCCUGUCAGAAGACACAGGAGGCCACAUGGCUUCAGGCAACGGCCUCCAGGCACAGGAGCAGCUCAAGGCAGGCCACCCGGGCCGACAGACCCCACGCAGGGAGCCCCGGCGUCAGACCGGCCCCCGGUCACCUGCAGAACAGCCCUGCCGGGUGGCUCCUAUGUGUGUGAGGUCCACUCUCCAUGGGGGGCAGGAAGACACCCUCAGUCUCUGGAUCGGGGACUCCUGGCCACGUGGUGCAGCCCAGCGAGCCCACGCAGCCCCUGCUUCGCCUUCGCAUUCUCCCUACGGCCACCUGCCGUCAUCGAAACUUCUAUGCGGGGACUCUUCUCGGCUGUGGGCACUGAUCCUGAGUCCAGGAGGUCAGGGAGGCCCUGUGAGAACCCAGGGGUCCUGCCGGCUGCCGGGAAAACUCUCCUGCCCCGUUUCCCUUCAAGCGCAAGGACGGACCUCAGCUGGUUCCUGUCGCGCCAGGCUGCCCAGUGGCCCGGGGAGGUGGCCCAGCUCUGAGAGCCCCAGAGGCAAGCAGUCCUGGCCCCGUGAAAUGGUGUGUGAGCACAGUCACUCCGUUUACGUGCUCGCGCAUAGAGCUGGGUUCGCCAGUCUCUCGGGGAGGGGCCCACGUUGUGCUGAACUGUUUGCUUUGCAAGAGGAAACCUGAGUGUGUGCCUACAAAGGCCGGAGGCUUGGGGCGUGAAAACAGGACGCGAGAACAGUCCCUGGGUGCGUGUCCCAAGUGCCCGAAUUCAUUUCGCAAACAGUUCUGACAUCUCUCGAGAUCUUCCCCCUGAGCAAGGCUUGCAGAAACAAAGUCAGUUUUCGGGACUGUUUUCUCAGGUCAUCGUCCUUAAACGCCCUAGCCCGAUGUUCCUUCUGGCAGCCCGGAGAGGCUGGUGGCAGCUUCUGGAGAGGACCAGCUUUGGAGGUGGGUCCAGGUUCAAGGCCUGUGUGGUCACUGGGUGUGGAGGCUGGGGCACACUGCUUCCCGUUCCUGAGGGUGUUUGCUCCUUUAUAAGUCAUAGUCCCGAGCAUGUGGAAGGCCUACAGCUCACUGACCAGGACCCUUGUGACCGGGCACUGUGGCCAGUGGUGAUGUGCAGAGUCUGAGGACCCCCACCUCUGUUAUGGGCCUGGAUUCUGGGGAGAACGGAGUAGCCAGUGACCCUGGGGACGGGAAGAGCCGUCCCAUGGCCUUUACAAAGAUGCCAAGAUGGGGAAUGACCCUGUGUGGUCCCACCAGCUGCCCACACGCGCCCAGGGGCCAGCUCUGCUCUUGGCCUCCAGCCCUCCCACCUCAAAAGAGGGUCUUUUCCAGGAACCAGGGUGGCCACAGCAGGAACUUCCCGUGGAUCCUGGACCUGCACAGAGGGCCACCCCUUGGGCGCGCCCUGGUUACGUGGUCUUUGUCUCCGUAUGGGCACCCCCAACACCCGGUCAUCAAGGGCCAGGGGCCUGGUGGGCAGUUCGCUCCAUCCCUGGGUGCUGCUUGGCUGCCCACGUGACUUUCCAGCCCCAGGAUAGCCGCUGGGCACCGCGCCUGAGCCUGGCGCCCUCGGUGUCCUUCCUCGGGGCUUCUGUGUGGAUGCGGGUGUAGUACCGGAAAGAUCUUGCUUCCCACUUCACGUGACAGCUACUGCGGCCCAUUACUUUCCCUGCCCAGCUGUCCCCCUUUUCCCAAAAGGGAUUACGUGACAUUCCUCCUCCUCCGUGUCAUAGCCCAGAAUUCCCUGGAAAACACUGACUGGUUUGUGGUCAGUCUUCCCAUUAAAGUCAGGGAUUGGA